CCCACCGAGGAGCGUUGCAACCCGAAUCCACGACGCUGGAUUCCGGCCAGGCUCGGUGGCGGGAUUUCACUGUUCCAACGGCGCUCACUCACG
rnacentral:ncRNA from 2 species